rnacentral:rRNA from 1 species
UACGUAGGGUGCGAGCGUUAAUCGGAAUUACUGGGCGUAAAGCGUGCGUAGGCGGUUCGCAAAGUCUGAUGUGAAAGCCCCGGGCUCAACCCGGGAACUGCAUUGGAAACUAACGGGCUCGAGUGUGGCAGAGGGGGGUGGAAUUCCACGUGUAGCAGUGAAAUGCGUAGAGAUGUGGAGGAACACCGAUGGCGAAGGCAGCCCCCUGGGCUAACACUGACGCUCAGGCACGAAAGCGUGGGGAGCAAACAGG